GUGGCGGCAGCCGUUUGGUAGCGUGAGAGCACACGCCGCGAUCUGCCCUCACUGACUGCCUUGAGGUGAAGCAGCAAGUUGGGCCUGCCGUUGCCCUCCCUUCACCCUGGAGCUGCCUUCAGUUUCUCUGCACCCUGGGCCGGGUGUAUACUUGUUCAGCAACAUGACACAGGACCUCAGCUUCUGCAGGAUACCCUCAUCAAGGUCAGGGGAGCAAAAAAGGUCGUGGGUUUCAGUCUGCCCACGUGGGGUUCCAGCUCCUGCUUGUGGGGUUCUAGCCUGCUCUCAUGAGCUUUCCUUCGUGUCUGCGUAUGGACUUCAGCGCUCCAACGUUAGUGGAGAAGACAGCAUUGUGGAGACAGCCUAGCAGCUCCCAUGAUUAUGGCCAGCGUUGAGUCUGGUCCUCUAUAGCUGCCACAGAGAAGCCCCUCAACAUUCCAGUCUGCCUCAGCCUUCGUCCCAAGGCUCCAAAGCCAAGAAGUCCAAUGAUGAUUUCCAGAGAGCCAUAUACUAUGUCAUUGGAGGUCCUGACCCCUUGAGGUGUGCAUGCGGCGGCUACCAUCUCCACUCACAGAACCUUCCAUCCUCCAAGUUUCAGAGAACCCAGUUCUCCCUGGGUCCAGCUACUUCUGUACUCACUCAUUAUCUCCUGUGAGGAAACUCAGAGACAGCAGUGAACAGGCACCAGGAAUUGGACAAUGGCAGACCAGAGAUCAGAGAACAAAUGGGGUGAUCCAGGUGACUAAGGGAUGUCUUUUCUACCCAGCUGCCUUUUCGAGGAUCACUACUCCCUGCUGUGCGUGAAAGGCUUGACAUUUAGAAAACAGUUUCACAACUCCACACUUUAUAAGACAGUCUCUAAAAACACACCGACAGGAACAAAUGUGCAUUUCCUGUAUUUGAAUGUGAUUCUGAGUGGGCAUAUAAUAAAUGCUAGCUGGCAUUGCUUACAGAUGUAAAAUUAAUAAUGGAGUUGGAUCUGAUUAGGAAAAUAAAAUCAAAGCUCUCAGUGUUCUCGUGGCUACAGCCCAGGAAGCCCAGGCUGAGAGUCCUACACUGACUUAGGCCAACUUGAAAAAAGAUGGUCUGCCAUCUCGUCACCAAAGAAGCAUUCAUUAACCAAGUAAAGUAACUAAAAAUAGUACAUUGUCAUUUAGGGAAUAAACUAGUACAACGAAUAAAGAAAAACAAAAACAUUUUCUGAGCACUUUGAUGUGCCAGACAUUGCACUAGGCCCCCGUGUUCUAAGAUUGAGAUCCAUUGUCUUGUGGAGCAUUGGGGUGGAAAGCGGUGGUGAGCAGGUAACACUAUGAAAUGGGCUCUUAUGGUGGGAAGGGCUAUACUUCAUUUUAAUUUUGUUGUUGUUUCAUUUUAACUUUUUAUUUUGAAAUAAUUUGAGACUUGAAGAGAAUUUCAAAAAUAGUACAGAGAGUUCACAUAUACCCUUGACCUUGUUGCUCUGAUGUUAACAAAUUAUAAAACUAUGGUACACUGUCAAAACCAGGAAAUUAACAUUAGUACGAUACUGUUAAAUAAACAACAAACCUA